UGCAGAGGAACUUCAAAGAAAUAAUUGAACUAGGAAAGUCGGCAAAAGAAAGAAAAGAAAAACUCCAAGAUAUCAGAAGAGAAGGUACUGAAUUGAUCAAGAUGCGGUUGAAGUCUAAGGUGCCUGAACGACUGGAAGAUUCAUUGGAUGACUUUCAGUCAAUAUCAAUUUCUGAAGUGAAAGAAAGUUCAAGUGUACCUUUUAAAUGGGACAAUGCUACAGAGGAUUUUCUUUGUGAAGUGUAUGACCAGUAUCUCAAGGGAAUAGGGGGAAACAAGGGACCACAAAUCAAGAAGUUAUAUGUAGAGG